UACGUAGGGUGCGAGCGUUGUCCGGAAUUAUUGGGCGUAAAGGGCUCGUAGGCGGUUUGUCGCGUCGGGAGUGAAAACCCAGGGCUUAACCCUGGGCUGGCUUUCGAUACGGGCAGACUAGAGGUAUGCAGGGGAGAACGGAAUUCCUGGUGUAGCGGUGAAAUGCGCAGAUAUCAGGAGGAACACCGAUAGCGAAGGCAGCUCGCUGGGACGGUACUGACGCUGAGGCGCGAAAGCGUGGGGAGCGAACAGG
rnacentral:rRNA from 1 species